rnacentral:lncRNA from 1 species
GAGCCUGUCUGCUCAGUCUCGCGAGUGGAGACGGCAUUCUGGCUUCCCCAGCAUUGCCCUGUGCCCCUCGCCCUUGGGGCGGGUAGGGAGCAGCCCCGGCUGGAUCGCCGGACCUGCGGGGGGCGGAGGAUGUUGGGAGCAGAGGACAUGAUUUCGGGCACACACCAUCCCUCCCCGGGUCGCCGAAGCUGCGGCUCACGGAACACAGGCUGGAGGGUGCAGUGGUUCUGGAGACGCCGCGCCGCGGGCCUGGUGGGGACGACGAUGCCGCGGAAGCUGGUGCCGCGGGAAUGCGCGCCUCGAGAGGCCGCAGGUCCUUUCAGGCCCACAAAGGCCGCGCUAAAUCGCGGCACGCACCAAAAGCAUGAAAGGGCGCGCUCGGGCCGUUCGGGAACAAAGUGGGAUCACACUGAUCCGAGGAGACUAAUAAGCUUUAACUAGUAGGCACGACCGCGUCGCCGCGACCUUUGUGCGCUCCGCGCCGCGGUGAGAGUGGGCACGCACCCUGCCGGCCCCUGGGGGUAUGGAAACUGUCCUUCAGCGUCCGUCAGAGAUCCAGGGGCAGCCGCUGCGCGUAGGGCCAGGCAUUUUCUUCUAACCUCGCCAACAGUGGCGCCCGGGCCCUGCCAGUGCAGUCCUUAGCUCACCCGGAACCCUCUGCGUCCUGCGCGCGCACGUGGGCCUCGAGACCCUGGAGGCUCGGGCUUCCUGACCCUUUGGAAGACCGUGUCCGGACCUCGAGACCCCAGGCGGGGGAAGGAAGGAGCGCCAGCAAAAGACACCUGCGUAGGUGCGGACUUUAGUCGCUGGUCCCCAGUACGCGGCCAAGCGAACACCGCCUCCAGCCCAGGGUCGGCCCUUUUCUUCCACCCGCCACACGCAGAAUGAGCUCUGGGCGGCUGAGCCUGAGCAGGCACACCUGCGAGCCGGGAACGGCCCCUUCUUCCUUCACCCUCUUCCUCAUGCUGUGGGAACUACUUCUAUACCAUCCAAGUUUGCUAAGGCCAGUGUGUGCGUGUGGUGGUGGUGGUGGGGGGGUGGGGGGGGGGGGGGGGGGGUGUGUGUGCUGUUCCUACCGUUUCCUAAACUCCGGCCUGCUGGUCUCAGGGACAGAAACCAACCUAUGCGUUAGAUACAGCCCCAGAGAUCCAUCAACGCUUCAUCCCUCAGCGAGAGUCGUUCAGUCCAGUUGCUGAGGAUAGGGAAGAAAUGACCCCCUCACGGGAGGACAGGGACCUUUGGGCUUCAGGGGCGUGCCGGAAGGUGUAUAGUCUGCAGGUGUCUCUGAUCCCGCUGAGUCCCUAAACUUUACCGUGAGGGCAGGGUCAUAUUUCACUCCUGACAGGAUGUGGCCCUUGAGAGACGUUCCCCAGGUAUCUGUGGAAUGGAUGAAUGAGGUGUGUGGGGCCUCUGGGCAGGGAAGUCUCCCAUGGGCCCAGGA